rnacentral:rRNA from 1 species
CAGUGGGGAUCUUGCACAAUGGAGGAACUCUGAUGCAGCGAUGCCGCGUGAGUGAAGAAGGCCUUUGGGUUGUAAAGCUCUUUCGUCGGGGAAGAAAAUGACUGUACCCGAAUAAGAAGGUCCGGCUAACUUCGUGCCAGCAGCCGCGGUAAUACGAAGGGACCUAGCGUAGUUCGGAAUUACUGGGCUUAAAGAGUUCGUAGGUGGUUGAAAAAGUUGGUGGUGAAAUCCCAGAGCUUAACUCUGGAACUGCCAUCAAAACUUUUCAGCUAGAGUAUGAUAGAGGAAAGCAGAAUUUCUAGUGUAGAGGUGAAAUUCGUAGAUAUUAGAAAGAAUACCAAUUGCGAAGGCAGCUUUCUGGAUCAUUACUGACACUGAGGAACGAAAGCAUGGGUAGCGAAGAGGAUUAGAUACCCUCGUAGUCCAUGCCGUAAACGAUGUGUGUUAGACGUUGGAAAUUUAUUUUCAGUGUCGCAGCGAAAGCGAUAAACACACCGCCUGGGGAGUACGACCGCAAGGUUAAAACUCAAAUGAAUUGACGGGGACCCGCACAAGUAGUGGAGCAUGUGGUUUAAUUCGAAGAUACGCGCAGAACCUUACCAACACUUGACAUGUUCGUCGCGACUUUAAGAGAUUAAAGUUUUCGGUUCGGCCGGACGAAACACAGGUGCUGCAUGGCUGUCGUCAGCUCGUGUCGUGAGAUGUUGGGUUAAGUCCCGCAACGAGCGCAACCCUCACUUUUAGUUGCCAUCAUUUAGUUGGGCACUCUGAAAGAACUGCCAGUGAUAAGCUGGAGGAAGGUGGGGAUGACGUCAAGUCCUCAUGGCCCUUACGUGUUGGGCUACACACGUGCUACAAUGGUAUCUACAACAGGAAGCAAAACCGCGAGGUUAAGCAAAUCCUUAAAAGAUACCUCAGUUCGGAUUGCACUCUGCAACUCGAGUGCAUGAAGCUGGAAUUA